GACGAACGCUGGCGGCGUGCCUAAUACAUGCAAGUAGAACGCAGUUGCGAACGGGUGAGUAACGCGUAGGUAACUGCCUGGUAGCGGGGGAUAACUAUUGGAAACGAUAGCUAAUACCGCAUACUACCAGAUGGACCUGCGUUGUAUUAGCUAGUUGGUGGGGUAACGGCUCACCAAGGCAACGAUACAUAGCCGACCUGAGAGGGUGAUCCGCCACACUGGGACUGAGACACGGCCCAGACUCCUACGGGAGGCAGCAGUGGGGAAUUUUGGACAAUGGGCGCAAGCCUGAUCCAGCCAUGCCGCGUGUAUGAAGAAGGCCUUCGGGUUGUAAAGUACUUUCAGCGGGGAGGCGUUACCCGCAGAAGAAGCACCGGCUAACUCCGUGCCAGCAGCCGCGGUAAUUC
rnacentral:rRNA from 1 species